UAGAAUUCAUGUAAUGCGAGGAACGUAUCAUUCAAAUGAUAACGAUGUAGGUACUCAAAUAAAAGAAGUUCACAUUCGAUUAAGCGAAUGGAAUUAGCACGUCUUUAGUGAAAGUUUCGUUUGAAUUAAAAUCUAAUUUCCUUUUCUUCCAAUAAAUAAAAUUCUAUUCUACUUCCUGUUUAUUCCAACUUGCUACAUUAUUCAGUCAAUUCAUAUUUAAUAUGUUUUACAACACACCCGUUGAAUUUUCAGAACGUCCCAUUAACAGUUUGAGAAUUAUAAAACUAUAUUACUAAGAAUUUCAUUGGCCGUUCUUUCUACUUAAAAUGAUUCACUCAAAGAAACCAGAGGCUACGCCUAUGCAUGCUCAUAACGCGUACAAUGUCAUAAUUCGUAUCCAGACGAUGUGGCGGGUUAAAUUGUCGACCGGAUAAUUCGUCAUAGUGUAUAAUAUUUAAAGUAACGCGAGUGCCAUUUCCGGUCCCAUGUAUUCUCAGUAUCGAUCAUCGAUCACGUCUAUCAGGUCGUGCACGGACGAUCUGUGUCGGAGGAAACCGACACGCCCACGCACACUGGCGCAACCGAACAGGUCUUGCCGAUCAUAUCCGCGGUAAUGACGUUUAAAAACCUGAUUUGAAGUGUAGAAUCAUACCAGCCCUACGAUAUACCAACACUACGACAUACCAACCUAUAUACGAUAGGAACGCUACAAGAGAAUUUCAUCCAAAGCAACGAAACGUAGAACGACUACUAUCCAUCCUGAAAACGUUCCUCCGCGAAGCAAGUCAAAAUGUAUCGAUCGAUCAAUUACCAAUAUGCUAAACCAAUAAAAACGGAACGUAACACGAACGAAGCGCUAUGACGAUGUUUAUUUGUUUAUUAAUAAGUCUGCCCCCAGGAUGAGGACAAUCGAGGCAUGAUUAUAUAAACUCAAUAAAAGAGACGCCACGUGCUGGCGUACGGCUCGUACGUAAUAUCACUUUCACGGUACAAGCUAAAUCCGUUGCUGCCCGGUAAAUCAAUGAACCGAACUUAGGAGUAUAUGCUUUGGAUAAAUGUUCGUAACAUGUGGGACACACGUUGUUAGUUAUUUAGUUCUAUUAGACGAGAAAAAGAAGAAGAAAAAAGAAGUGCAUACACGGCAGUGCACUUCAUUGCUCAAUGACAAAAGCUUGUUAGUGAAGCUUCACCGAGCUCCUAUUCGUUGGCCUUUUAGGACGACGAUACGUCAGCGGCAGAAAGCGAGCAACGUCACCGGAGGUACAUUGACAUUUUUCGGAGACUAUACAAGGUUAAUCUCUAAUCGACAAAAGAAUCGCCCUAAUUAACCUUUACAUGAAUCCUUAUAGCUGGAUUAUGAAUAUUUAUAAAUGUAUGACAAAUUUAAAGAUGCUAAAAUAUAUACGUACAUACACAAUAUACAAAAAUAUUGGAAAUAUUCAAAGUUCACAAAAAUAUGAAUUUGUAUAAAUAUCUGUAGUUUGAUUAUAAACGUUCCUUCUUCACCAGGAUAGAUUUUGGCAAUUAUUUAAUAGGAUGGAUUAAAAGAUGCAGAGGUUCUACCAACAGAUACUGAAUGGAGUUAGAGAUAAUUAAUAUGAUAUGUAUAAUGAAUGUAAAUAUACAA